rnacentral:rRNA from 1 species
GACGAACGCUGGCGGCGUGCUUAACACAUGCAAGUCGAACGGAAGGGCGAUGCGCUUGUGGGGUGCUCGAGUGGCGAACGGGGGAGUAACACGUGAGUAACCUGCCCCUGACUGUGGGGGAUCUUCAGGAAAAAGGGGAUAAUACAGGGGAGGAGAUCUUGCAGCACGGUGGGGGUUGGAAAGAGUCGGCGGUGGGGGAUGGACUCGCGGGUUAUCAGCUUGUUGGGGGGGUAGUGGCGUACCAAGGCUUUGACGGGUAGCCCGCCUGGGAGGGUGACCGGCCACAUUGGUCCUGCGGUACGGCCCAGACGCCUACCGGCGGCAGCAGUGGGGAACAUUGCGCAGUGGCCGGACGCCUGUUGCAGCAGCGCCGCGUGCGUGAUGACGGCCUUCGGGUUGUAAACCGCUUUCUCCUGUGCCGAACCGUGCGUGACGGUACUGGGUAAAGAAGCACCGGCUAACUACGUG